AGGUGUGGGCUUCAGAGAUCCAUGGCAUCUCAAUUGGAGUGCCUGAUUGAGUCACAACUACUGUAUUGGGAUUGGAUUGCAGAAUAGAAUAAACCAGUUUGUCAGAUAACGAUGGUAAAGUCAUUGUUUUUCUAUCUUCACCUUCCGUUUCCCAUUCUGCUGUCAAACCCACACAUAAAAUCACACAAUCAACUGAUUUGGCAACCCUCACUGCGUAAUCUAUCUCCGUUUCAGGAUCAAUAACUUUAACACAGCCAAUAGAGUAUCUUCCUCCCGUACUGGGAGACAGAUUAGUUGACAGCGUGUAAGUGGCUGCACUUCCAUACUCGACCCGUACAUUAUACUUUCUCCCCUUCUUUAAAUAAAUAGAAUUUCUCUCUUCUAUUGUUCCAAAUUCAAAAGUAUGAUUCGUAGGGGUUUGCUUUGUCUUGUUGUCGAUUAAUAAGACAUCAUCAAUAAACAGCAGAGCCGUUCCAAACACAGAUAUCCCAAAUUCAUAAACAGCGUCCUCGUCAGGAAUUAAAUAACCUUCAAUGUCUAUAUAGAAA